ACACUCCUGCGGGAGGCAGCAGUGGGGAAUUUUGGACAAUGGGCGAAAGCCUGAUCCAGCAAUGCCGCGUGAGUGAAGAAGGCCUUCGGGUUGUAAAGCUCUUUUGUCAGGGAAGAAACGGUGAGAGCUAAUAUCUCUUGCUAAUGACGGUACCUGAAGAAUAAGCACCGGCUAACUACGUGCCAGCAGCCGCGGUAAUACGUAGGGUGCAAGCGUUAAUCGGAAUUACUGGGCGUAAAGCGUGCGCAGGCGGUUUUGUAAGUCUGAUGUGAAAUCCCCGGGCUCAACCUGGGAAUUGCAUUGGAGACUGCAAGGCUAGAAUCUGGCAGAGGGGGGUAGAAUUCCACGUGUAGCAGUGAAAUGCGUAGAUAUGUGGAGGAACACCGAUGGCGAAGGCAGCCCCCUGGGUCAAGAUUGACGCUCAUGCACGAAAGCGUGGGGAGCAAACAGGAUUAGAUACCCCGGUAGUCCCAUGA
rnacentral:rRNA from 1 species